rnacentral:rRNA from 1 species
AACGAACGCUGGCGGCAGGCUUAACACAUGCAAGUCGAACGGUUGCAGCAAUGCAGCAGUGGCAGACGGGUGAGUAACACGUGGGAACCUUCCUAGGGGUACGGAACAACUCAGGGAAACUUGAGCUAAUACCGUAUACGUCCGUGAGGAGAAAGAUUUAUCGCCCUUAGACGGGCCCGCGUCGGAUUAGCUAGUUGGUGGGGUAACGGCCUACCAAGGCGACGAUCCGUAGCUGAUCUUAGAGGAUGAUCAGCCACACUGGGACUGAGACACGGCCCAGACUCCUACGGGAGGCAGCAGUGGGGAAUCUUGGACAAUGGGCGCAAGCCUGAUCCAGCCAUGCCGCGUGAGUGAAGAAGGUCUUCGGAUUGUAAAGCUCUUUUGCCAGGGACGAUAAUGACGGUACCUGGAGAAUAAGCCCCGGCAAACUUCGUGCCAGCCGCCGCAGUAAAAC